AGAAACGCCCCUGGUUUAACUACAAUCAAUAAUAAAACCCAGCGAAUUGCACACCUUACAAACGCAGCCAGCGCGGCCACGAGAAGAGAGUGAGACAGAGAGAGAGAGAGAGAGAGAGAGAGAGAGAUUGCGCCUUCAGGCUUCUCCACGUGAUCUUCAGCAAACUGCAGAGGGCCAGAAAUGUUCUUUUUGGAGUGCAAUGACUUUCCCCUUCUCGCACUCACCGAUAUGUAAUAUUGGAUCAUUUUCCUCAAUAAAUAAAUGACCAAGUGUAAUA